rnacentral:tRNA from 1 species
GGGGCGGCAGCUCAGUUGGGAGAGCACGUGACUGGCAGUCACGAGGCGUCGGAUCGACCUGUGCGUUUCGCGA